rnacentral:rRNA from 1 species
GACGAACGCUGGCGGCGUGCCUAAUACAUGCAAGUAGAACGCUGAAGGAGGAGCUUGCUUCUCUGGAUGAGUUGCGAACGGGUGAGUAACGCGUAGGUAACCUGCCUGGUAGCGGGGGAUAACUAUUGGAAACGAUAGCUAAUACCGCAUAAGAGUGGAUGUUGCAUGACAUUUGCUUAAAAGGUGCACUUGCAUCACUACCAGAUGGACCUGCGUUGUAUUAGCUAGUUGGUGGGGUAACGGCUCACCAAGGCGACGAUACAUAGCCGACCUGAGAGGGUGAUCGGCCACACUGGGACUGAGACACGGCCCAGACUCCUACGGGAGGCAGCAGUAGGGAAUCUUCGGCAAUGGACGGAAGUCUGACCGAGCAACGCCGCGUGAGUGAAGAAGGUUUUCGGAUCGUAAAGCUCUGUUGUAAGAGAAGAACGAGUGUGAGAGUGGAA